CGGAUCUCUCCUCUCUCUCCUCUUCCCAACACAUAAUCAAUUCACUCUACCACUCCAUCUUCUCUCUCUCACUCUACCCCUCAUUCUCUCUCACACUCCACCAUUUACCACACUCAAACUCUCUCUUUCCCUCUCUAAAACCACGAAAUUCUCCAGCCAAGAACAACUCUUAACCUUCAAAUCUUAAUCUUCUAGGGUUCUUCUCCAUGGAAUCGGUAGUGGUACACGUGGAACAUAGUCAAGACACCAUUUGCAUCAUCUCAAUGUAUUGAAUCAUCGAGUAAGUGGCACUUAGGGACAGUUCACUUUAGGAGGAUUCGCAUGUGUUUUAUUUCAAUUUACAUUGUAAUUUCUUUUAAAAGUUGUUAAAACCCACUGUAAAAUUGUAAUGAUUUAUAAUACUAUGAUUGGUGUUGUCUUUUAA